rnacentral:rRNA from 1 species
GACGAACGCUGGCGGCGUGCUUAACACAUGCAAGUCGAACGGAAAGGCCCUGCUUUUGUGGUGUGCUCGAGUAGCGAACGGGUGAGUAACACGUGAGUAACCUGCCCUUGACUUUGGGAUAACUUCAGGAAACUAGGGAUCAUACCGGAUAGGAGCUCCUGCUGCAGGGUGGGGGAUGGAAAGUUUCGGCGGGUGGGGAUGGACUGGCGGCGUAUCGGCUUGUUGGGGGGGUAGUGGCUUGCCAAGGCAUGGCCGGGUAGCCGGCCUGGGAGGGGGACCGGCAGCGCUGGGACGGAGAUACGGCCCAGACUCCAACGGGAGGCAGCGGUGGGGAAUAUUGCACAAUGGGAGGAAGCCUGAUGCAGCAACGCCGCGUGCGGGAUGACGGCAUGCGGGUUGGAAACCGCUUUCGCCUGUGACGAAGAGUGAGUGACGGUAAUGGGUAAAGAAGCACCGGCUAACUACGUG